AUUGAACGCUGGCGGCAUGCUUUACACAUGCAAGUCGAACGGUAACAGCACUUCGGUGGCUGACGAGUGGCGAACGGGUGAGUAAUACAUCGGAACGUGCCUAGUAGUUGGGGAUAACUACUCGAAAGAGUAGCUAAUACCGCAUGAGAUCUAAGGAUGAAAGCAGGGGACCUUCGGGCCUUGCGCUACUAGAGCGGCUGAUGGCAGAUUAGGUAGUUGGUGGGAUAAAAGCUUACCAAGCCGACGAUCUGUAGCUGGUCUGAGAGGACGACCAGCCACACUGGGACUGAGACACGGCCCAGACUCCUACGGGAGGCAGCAGUGGGGAAUCUUGGACAAAGGGCGCAAGCCUGAUCCAGCAAUGCCGCGUGCAGGAUGAAGGCCUUCGGGUUGUAAACUGCUUUUGUACGGAACGAAAAGCCCUCUUCUAAUACAGGAGGGUCAUGACGGUACCGUAAGAAUAAGCACCGGCUAACUACGUG
rnacentral:rRNA from 1 species